CGUUAUUUCAAGAUUGCACUAUGUAGUAUGAGAUACGUAGACAAUUAGUAACCAAAAGGAUAUUGCCAUACUUUUCUGGUAAUACGAACAAUUGGUCAAAGUAAAAGUAACGUUUAAAAGAUUUCUCGGAUCAAAUGCAUUGAGUUUGAACUCGAUGAAUUAAGCAAGAAAAGGUUUCGAGGACGAAACCUCUUUAAGGGGGGUAGACUUGUAACACCCCGAAAACAGGUUUGGAAAUUAAACCCCGUUAAUACAAAAGACGGGGAAAGUACCGUUAGCGGUAAAAGUAAACCGGAAAAUAUUAGGAAUCAAGUGAAUAAUCCUAAUAUUAAUUAAAAGUGAAUAAGAGCUUCCAGGAAAAUAGAAUGGAUAAAAGGCCCGAUUUAACGGGACUAAAAAUAAAACGGGUUUUAACUCCCGGAACCCACAAAGUUAACUAGGUAAAAUUAACCUAGUUAGUAAUGAGUAACUAAAUAAUAAACUAUGGGUUAUAGUUUCAUUUAUGAAUCUCUAAACUUGAGGGGCUAAACAUGGGCAACUAGAGAAGUGUUUUAUUAAAACACUUAAAUAAAUAAAAAAACACAUACAUGUGUGUACGUAUGCGAUCAGAAGAAGGAGCCAGGAGAGCUCAAACCCUAGUUCAACAAAUCCUCCAAAUCGAAGCUCAAAUCAAGCCCGAAUAGUCUGCAUGAUUACAAAUUCGUGAUCGCCUAGUCGUGGGGAUCAUAAGUUGACUCUAAACAAGCUAGGUGGGAGCUUGAAAAGGAACGGGUCAAACGGAUCAUGGAUGCGAAGAAUGUUUGCGCGGACGCGAGGGUAAAACGGCUUAUGGAAUUUACGUGGCUAUGAAUCAGCAAAUUAUUAAGGCAAGGUAUUAAAACGGGUCAAUACUUUGACCCGCGCCAGGUACAUUUUGGAUGCCGGAAGACGAUCAAGCUCGACGAAGGACCGAACACGAUAUAGAUACAUGCUUCCGCACUUUAACACAUUGCAAAUAUUAAACAACGAAUUCAACCACGUUAUGUAGAAUAACUUAUGAAUUGUAAAAGUUUUAAUAAA